UGGUAGAUUCUACGAAGCACGGCUCUUGCUAGGGUUCGUAUUAACAACGUCGUCAGGUUUGAGCCCGUGAGCUGCUGCUCACCUACUAGUUAAGGUUAUAUUGAAAUAGCCUCUCAAGGCUAUCAGCUUAGGUAGGAAAAAAAAACCUAUGCAAAAUGCGGUAACCGUAUUUGUGGUGCGGGAACCAAACUCUUGAUAUACUAGGUUGAAGUUACAAUAGCGCUAAACUAAAUGGAUGUGUUUAUGCAACAAGCGCGCACGCAUAACGAGUACCACGGAAUAGAUAAAUAAGGUUGGAAUGGUAAUGUAGGCGGGGCAAGCGUGCCACUGUUAUGAUAGAACAAACAUAACUCGACCGAUUCUUUCAUUCACCGCGUUUAGUGCGCUUCGGACUACUUGGCGAACAGAUCUCCGCUUUAUAGUGCCGUGUUGUGCAAUUAUAACUUGUAAAACAAAAAAUCAGACCUCAAGUAUAGAGCGAGGAGGUAUAUCUUUCGAUCGGUUUCCUAAAGAACCUAACGCCAGGGAACAAUGGAUUGACGUGACAGGUAGAGGAAACUGGAGACAAAGACGAGUACUAUUUGCUCUAAACAUUUUACUGAAAAUGAUUUUAUCAUAAAAAAAAUCAGAAUACACUUAGUUUUGAAAAAUUCAUUCGCAAUUAAUAGCAAGCGCCAACUGCUUAACAAAUACGUUUUAUUCCAGCGACAGUGACUAUUUGUAAUUAAUAAAAGUAAAAUAGUUUUUUUUUUUCAAUAUUUA